GUGGGGAAUCUUGCGCAAUGGGCGAAAGCCUGACGCAGCCAUGCCGCGUGAAUGAUGAAGGUCUUAGGAUUGUAAAAUUCUUUCACCGGGGACGAUAAUGACGGUACCCGGAGAAGAAGCUCCGGCUAACUUCGUGCCAGCAGCCGCGGUAAUACGAAGGGGGCUAGCGUUGCUCGGAAUUACUGGGCGUAAAGGGCGCGUAGGCGGACAGCUUAGUCAGAGGUGAAAGCCCAGGGCUCAACCUUGGACUUGCCUUUGAUACUGGCUGUCUUGAGUUUGGGAGAGGUGAGUGGAACUCCGAGUGUAGAGGUGAAAUUCGUAGAUAUUCGGAAGAACACCAGUGGCGAAGGCGACUCACUGGCCCAAUACUGACGCUGAGGCGCGAAAGCGUGGGGAGCAAACAGGAUUAGAAACCCGGGUAGUCC
rnacentral:rRNA from 1 species